rnacentral:rRNA from 1 species
UACGGAGGGUGCGAGCGUUAAUCGGAAUUACUGGGCGUAAAGCGUGCGUAGACGGUUAUGUAAGUCGGGUGUGAAAGCCCCGGGCUCAACCUGGGAAUUGCAUUCGAGACUGCAUAGCUAGGGUGCGGAAGAGGGAAGCGGAAUUUCCGGUGUAGCGGUGAAAUGCGUAGAUAUCGGAAGGAACACCAGUGGCGAAAGCGGCUUCCUGGUCCAGCACCGACGUUCAGGCACGAAAGCGUGGGGAGCAAACAGG